UAGGGAAUCUUCCACAAUGGACGCAAGUCUGAUGGAGCAACGCCGCGUGAGUGAAGAAGGGUUUCGGCUCGUAAAGCUCUGUUGUUAAAGAAGAACGUGGGUAAGAGUAACUGUUUACCCAGUGACGGUAUUUAACCAGAAAGCCACGGCUAACUACGUGCCNG
rnacentral:rRNA from 1 species